AACGAACGCUGGCGGCAUGCCUAACACAUGCAAGUCGAACGAGACCUUCGGGUCUAGUGGCGCACGGGUGCGUAACGCGUGGGAACCUGCCCUUAGGUUCGGAAUAACUCCCCGAAAGGGGUGCUAAUACUGGAUAAUGUCUUCGGACCAAAGAUUUAUCGCCUUUGGAUGGGCCCGCGUUGGAUUAGCUAGUUGGUAGGGUAAAAGCCUACCAAGGCGACGAUCCAUAGCUGGUCUGAGAGGAUGAUCAGCCACACUGGGACUGGGACACGGCCCAGACUCCUACGGGAGGCAGCAGUGGGGAAUAUUGGACAAUGGGCGAAAGCCUGAUCCAGCAAUGCCGCGUGAGUGAUGAAGGCCUUAGGGUUGUAAAGCUCUUUUACCCGGGAUGAUAAUGACAGUACCGGGAGAAUAAGCUCCGGCUAACUCCGUG
rnacentral:rRNA from 1 species